AUGUUUGAUGUUCUAACGUGGACCCGUGAUCCGGGUUGCGGACAGUGUCUGGUGGGUAGUUUGACUGGGGCGGUCUCCUCCUAAAGAGUAACGGAGGAGCACGAAGGUUGGCUAAUCCUGGUCGGACAUCAGGAGGUUAGUGCAAUGGCAUAAGCCAGCUUGACUGCGAGCGUGACGGCGCGAGCAGGUGCGAAAGCAGGUCAUAGUGAUCCGGUGGUUCUGAAUGGAAGGGCCAUCGCUCAACGGAUAAAAGGUACUCCGGGGAUAACAGGCUGAUACCGCCCAAGAGUUCAUAUCGACGGCGGUGUUUGGCACCUCGAUGUCGGCUCAUCACAUCCUGGGGCUGAAGUAGGUCCCAAGGGUAUGGCUGUUCGCCAUUUAAAGUGGUACGCGAGCUGGGUUUAGAACGUCGUGAGACAGUUCGGUCCCUAUCUGCCGUGGGCGCUGGAGAACUGAGGGGGGCUGCUCCUAGUACGAGAGGACCGGAGUGGACGCAUCACUGGUGUUCGGGUUGUCAUGCCAAUGGCACUGCCCGGUAGCUAAAUGCGGAAGAGAUAAGUGCUGAAAGCAUCUAAGCACGAAACUUGCC
rnacentral:rRNA from 1 species